AGAGUUUGAUCCUGGCUCAGAGCGAACGCUGGCGGCGUGCUUAACACAUGCAAGUCGAACGGGUGUAGCAAUACAUCCGUGGCGAACGGGUGCGUAACACGUGGAUAACCUUCCUUCAGGUGGGGAAUAACCCAGUGAAAAUUGGGCUAAUACCGCAUAACAAGACGAGGGCUCAUGCUCUUGUCUUCAAAGGCGCAAGUCGCCAGAAGAGGGAUCCGCGGCCGAUUAGCUAGUUGGCGAGGUAACGGCUCACCAAGGCAAUGAUCGGUAGCCGGAUUGAGAGGUUGGCCGGCCACACUGGAACUGAGACACGGUCCAGACUCCUACGGGAGGCAGCAGUGGGGAAUCUUGCACAAUGGGCGAAAGCCUGAUGCAGCAACGCCGCGUAGGGGAUGAAGCUUCUCGGAGUGUAAACCCCUUUCGACCCGGAAGAAUGCCCGCAAGGGCUUGACGGUACGGGUAUAAGAAGCCCCGGCUAACUACGUGCCAGCAGCCGCGGUAAUACGUAGGGGGCCAGCGUUGCUCGGAAUUACUGGGCGUAAAGGGUCCGUAGGCGGUGUGGCAAGUCGGGAGUGAAAUCUCUGGGCUUAACCCAGAGGCUGCUUCCGAAACUGCCGUGCUAGAGUGUGAGAGAGGCGAGUGGAAUUGCGGGUGUAGCGGUGAAAUGCGUAGAUAUCCGCAGGAACAUCCGAGGCGAAAGCGGCUCGCUGGAUCACAACUGACGCUGAGGGACGAAAGCUAGGGGAGCAAACAGGAUUAGAUACCCUGGUAGUCCUAGCCCUAAACCAUCAGACUUGGGGUUUGCCCUGUACGGGCAAGUCCCGUAGCUAACGCGUUAAGUCCUGCGCCUGGGGAGUACGUCGCAAGACUGAACUCAAGGAUUGACGGGGCCCGCACAAGCGGUGGAACAUGUGGUUCAAUUCGACGCACGCGAAGAACCUUACCUGGGCUUGAACCGCACAGGAC
rnacentral:rRNA from 1 species